rnacentral:rRNA from 1 species
ACUCCUACGGGAGGCAGCAGUGAGGAAUAUUGGUCAAUGGGUGCAAGCCUGAACCAGCCAUCCCGCGUGAAGGAUUAAGGUCCUAUGGAUUGUAAACUUCUUUUGUAUAGGGAUAAACCUACCCUCGUGAGGGUAGCUGAAGGUACUAUACGAAUAAGCACCGGCUAACUCCGUGCCAGCAGCCGCGGUAAUACGGAGGGUGCAAGCGUUAUCCGGUAUUUAUUGGGUUUAAAGGGUCCGUAGGCGGACUUAUAAGUCAGUGGUGAAAUCCUGUCGCUUAACGAUAGAACUGCCAUUGAUACUGUAAGUCUUGAGUAUAUUUGAGGUAGCUGGAAUAAGUAGUGUAGCGGUGAAAUGCAUAGAUAUUACUUAGAACACCAAUUGCGAAGGCAGGUUACCAAGAUAUAACUGACGCUGAGGGACGAAAGCGUGGGUAGCGAACAGGAUUAGAUACCCGUGGUAGGAUAGCG